rnacentral:rRNA from 1 species
CCUUGACAUACUAAGGACUUUCCAGAGAUGGAUUGGUGCCUUCGGGAACUUAGAUACAGGUGCUGCAUGGCUGUCGUCAGCUCGUGUCGUGAGAUGUUGGGUUAAGUCCCGNAACGAGCGCAACCCUUUUCCUUAUUUGCCAGCGGGUCAUGCCGGGAACUUUAAGGAUACUGCCAGUGACAAACUGGAGGAAGGCGGGGACGACGUCAAGUCAUCAUGGCCCUUACGGCCAGGGCUACACACGUGCUACAAUGGUCGGUACAAAGGGUUGCUACCUCGCGAGAGGAUGCUAAUCUCAAAAAGCCGAUCGUAGUCCGGAUCGCAGUCUGCAACUCGACUGCGUGAAGUCGGAAUCGCUAGUAAUCGCGGAUCAGAAUGCCGCGGUGAAUACGUUCCCGGGCCUUGUACACACCGCCCGUCACACCAUGGGAGUUUGUUGCACCAGAAGUAGGUAGUCUAACCGCAAGGAGGACGCUUACCACGGUGUGGCCGAUGACUGGGGUGAAGUCGUAACAAGGUAGGCGUAGAUGA